rnacentral:rRNA from 1 species
UCUGGUCUUGGGACACUGUCAGGUGGGCAGUUUGACUGGGGCGGUCGCCUCCCAAAAGGUAACGGAGGCGCUCAAAGGUUCUCUCAGUACGGUCGGAAAUCGUACGUAGAGUGUAAAGGCAAAAGAGAGCUUGAUUGCAAGACAUACAGGCCGAGCAAGGAUGAAAAUCGGACUUAGUGAUCCGGUGGUUCUGCGUGGAAGGGCCAUCGCUCAACGGAUAAAAGCUACCCUGGGGAUAACAGGCUUAUCUCCCCCAAGAGUCCACAUCGACGGGGAGGUUUGGCACCUCGAUGUCGGC